rnacentral:lncRNA from 10 species
CUGAGGGGGAGGUGGCACCCCCAUCUGCAGGAGGGACAGCAGCACAGCUUGAAGUAUAACUCCUAACAAAAUAAUGUUGGUCCAGCACUUUGAGAUAAUAGAGAUAAUAGCAAAAGACUGCAGGAGAGACAAGAUUGAACUCAGUAGUGGACUUCCAGGAGGCUUAGCCUGAGAGUCACCCACUUCAAACCUCCCUUGUUGCUCAAAAAGGAAAUGUGAAAGUUGUCAGAAUCAAAAUGGAGUAACUGGCAUUAAACAAACCAACAAAAGGAACUUUCACAAAGCACCAGGGAAGGCCAUAAAGAGUGGGUUCUCACGCCUCGAUGCCUG